rnacentral:rRNA from 1 species
AGAGUUGAUCCUGGCUUAGGACGAACGCUGGCGGCGUGCCUAACACAUGCAAGUCGAGCGAGGAGAUCCUUCGGGAUGAUCCUAGCGGCGGACGGGUGAGUAACACGUGGGCAACCUGCCUCAUAGAGAGGAAUAGCCUUCCGAAAGGGAGAUUAAUACCUCAUAACAUUGCAGUUUCGCAUGGAACAGCAAUUAAAGGAGUAAUCCGCUAUGAGAUGGGCCCGCGGCGCAUUAGCUAGUUGGUGAGGUAACGGCUCACCAAGGCGACGAUGCGUAGCCGACCUGAGAGGGUGAUCGGCCACAUUGGGACUGAGACACGGCCCAGACUCCUACGGGAGGCAGCAGUGGGGAAUAUUGCACAAUGGGGGAAACCCUGAUGCAGCCAACGCCGCGUGAGUGAUGACGGCCUUCGGGUUGUAAAGCUCUGUCUUCAGGGACGAUAGUGACGGUACCUGAGGAGGAAGCCACGGCUAACUACGUGCCAGCAGCAGC